rnacentral:rRNA from 1 species
GAUGAACGCUGGCGGCGUGCCUAAUACAUGCAAGUCGAGCGAACAGAUAAGGAGCUUGCUCCUUUGACGUUAGCGGCGGACGGGUGAGUAACACGUGGGUAACCUACCUAUAAGACUGGAAUAACUCCGGGAAACCGGGGCUAAUGCAGGAUAACAUGUUGAACCGCAUGGUUCUACAGUGAAAGGCGGCUUUGCUGUCACUUAUAGAUGGACCCGCGCCGUAUUAGCUAGUUGGUGAGGUAACGGCUCACCAAGGCAACGAUACGUAGCCGACCUGAGAGGGUGAUCGGCCACACUGGAACUGAGACACGGUCCAGACUCCUACGGGAGGCAGCAGUAGGGAAUCUUCCGCAAAGGGCGAAAGCCUGACGGAGCAACGCCGCGUGAGUGAUGAAGGUCUUCGGAUCGUAAAACUCUGCUAUUAGGGAAGAACAAAUGCGUAAGUAACUGUGCGCGUCUUGACGGUACCUAAUCAGAAAGCCACGGCUAACUACGUG